rnacentral:rRNA from 1 species
CGGGGGGAGCAAGCGUUGUUCGGAUUUACUGGGCGUAAAGGGCGCGUAGGCGGCCACCGCAAGUCGACUGUGAAAUCUCCGGGCUUAACCCGGAACGGUCAGCCGAUACUGCGGGGCUAGAGUGCAGAAGGGGCAACUGGAAUUCUCGGUGUAGCAGUGAAAUGCGUAGAUAUCAUGAGGAAUACCAGAGGCGAAGGCGGCUACCUGGACAAUUGCUGACGCUCAGGCACGAAAGCGUGGGGAGCAAAAGGGAUUAGAUACCCCUGUAGUCCACGCCCUAAACGGUGCACACUAGGUCUUGGCGGAUUCGACCCCCCAGGGCCCCAGCUAACGCGUUAAGUGUGCCGCCUGAGGACUACGGCCGCAAGGCUA